rnacentral:rRNA from 1 species
GAUGAACGCUGGCGGCGUGCCUAAUACAUGCAAGUCGAGCGAACGGACGAGAAGCUUGCUUUUCUGAUGUUAGCGGCGGACGGGUGAGUAACACGUGGAUAACCUACCUAUAAGACUGGGAUAACUUCGGGAAACCGGAGCUAAUACCGGAUAAUAUUUUGAACCGCAUGGUUCAAAAGUGAAAGACGGUCUUGCUGUCACUUAUAGAUGGAUCCGCGCUGCAUUAGCUAGUUGGUAAGGUAACGGCUUACCAAGGCAACGAUGCAUAGCCGACCUGAGAGGGUGAUCGGCCACACUGGAACUGAGACACGGUCCAGACUCCUACGGGAGGCAGCAGUAGGGAAUCUUCCGCAAUGGGCGAAAGCCUGACGGAGCAACGCCGCGUGAGUGAUGAAGGUCUUCGGAUCGUAAAACUCUGUUAUUAGGGAAGAACAUAUGUGUAAGUAACUGUGCACAUCUUGACGGUACCUAAUCAGAAAGCCACGGCCAACUACGUG